rnacentral:rRNA from 1 species
UACGUAGGUGGCAAGCGUUGUCCGGAUUUACUGGGCGUAAAGAGCGCGCAGGCGGUCGUUCAAGUCGCGUGUGAAAGCCCCCGGCUCAACUGGGGAGGGUCACGCGAUACUGGUCGACUCGAAGGCAGGAGAGGGUAGUGGAAUUCCCGGUGUAGUGGUGAAAUGCGUAGAUAUCGGGAGGAACACCAGUGGCGAGGGCGACUACCUGGCCUGUUUCUUGACGCUGAGGCGCGAAAGCUAGGGGAGCAAACGGG